GAAUUGCGAAAAGUAAUGUGAAUUGCAGAAUUCCGUGAAUCAUCGAAUCUUUGAACGCAUAUUGCGCUCCCUGGUCCCCCAGGGAGCAUGCCUGUUUGAGUAUCAGUAACACCCUCACUACCUCUUUGGGGUUGUGGAUUUAUGAAUGUUCUGGGUAGGUGUGUUUCAAGGGACCUAACGGCCCCUUGAGACCCCAAUACGCCCAGUCAUUUGAAAAGUAGCGCGAGCUGCAUUUGCCACUGCUCUUUGAUCAAGGCGUACUAGUUCUCUAUGGAGAUCCACUUGCGCCAGUGUACGGUCAUUGAGCCUUUGUGCUGGCUACAGUUUGCGAAACUCUAUUACCAAGAGUUGCCCGUUAGCAGUUUGCUAGCCCUUGCGUGGCAGCUCUGAUCUUGAUCUC
rnacentral:misc_RNA from 1 species